GGAGAGGUGCCUGAGCGGUCGAAAGGGGCACCCUGCUAAGGUGUUAGCUGUUAACGCGGCUCGAGGGUUCGAAUCCCUCCCUCUCCGCCA
rnacentral:tRNA from 1 species